GGGUCAGUAGGUUGGUCGUGCCACCGGUACGUACUGGUCUCACUGAUUCCUCCUUCCUGAAGAACCGUAAUGCCAUUAAUUUGGUGUUGCGGGGAAACAGGACUGUUACUUUGAAAAAAUUAGAGUGUUUAAAGCAAGCUAACGCUUGACUACAUUAGCAUGGAAUAAUGAAAUAGGACGAUCGAUCCUAUUUUGUUGGUUUCUAGGAUUGACGUA
rnacentral:rRNA from 1 species